GUCUUUUUGAAUUAAAUUUAAAGUCUAACCUGCCCACUGAAAUUUUAAAUGGCCGCAGUAUUCUAACUGUGCAAAGGUAGCAUAAUCAUUAGUCUUUUAAUUGAAGGCUGGAAUGAAUGGUUGGACGAGAUAUUAACUGUUUCAUUUUAAUUUUUUUUAGAAUUUUAUUUUUUAGUCAAAAAGCUAAAAUUUAUUUAAAAGACGAGAAGACCCUAUAAAUCUUUAUAUUUUAUUUAUUUUAAUUAUAAAGAUUAUUUUUAUUAUAAUAAAUUAAAAUAUUUUAUUGGGGUGAUAUUAAAAUUUAAAAAACUUUUAAUUUUUAAAAAUCAUUAAUUUAUGAAUAAUUGAUCCAUUAAUAGUGAUUAAAAAAUUAAGUUACUUUAGGGAUAACAGCGUAAUUUUUUUGGAGAGUUCUUAUCGAUAAAAAAGAUUGCGACCUCGAUGUUGGAUUAAGAUAUAAUUUUGGGUGUAGCCGUUCAAAUUUUAAGUCUGUUCGACUUUUAAAUUCUU
rnacentral:rRNA from 1 species